UGGGGAAUAUUGCACAAUGGUGGGAACUCUGAUGCAGCGACGCCGCGUGAGUGAUGAAGGAAUUCGUUUCGUAAAACUCUGUUCUAUGGGAAGAAAAGGACUGUACCAUAGGAGAAAGCUCCGGCUAAAUACGUGCCAGCAGCCGCGGUAAUACGUAUGGAGCGAGCGUUGUUCGGAAUUAUUGGGCGUAAAGGGUGCGCAGGCGGCUUUACAAGUUGGAUGUGAAAUAUUGUGGCUCAACCACAAACGUGCAUCCAAAACUGCAAAGCUUGAGUUAAGGAGAAGUAAGUGGAAUUCCUGGUGUAGCGGUGGAAUGCGUAGAUAUCAGGAGGGAUACCGGUGGCGAAGGCGACUUACUGGACUUAAACUGACGCUCAGGCACGAAAGCGUGAGGAGCAAACAGG
rnacentral:rRNA from 1 species